rnacentral:rRNA from 1 species
AACGAACGCUGGCGGCAUGCCUAAAACAUGCAAGUCGAACGGGUGUAGCAAUACACCAGUGGCAGACGGGUGCGUAACACGUGGGAACCUGCCCAGAGGUUCGGAAUAGCUGCGGGAAACUGCAGGUAAUACCGGAUGUUGCCUGAGGGCUAAAGGAGCAAUCCGCCUUCGGAGGGGCCCGCGUCCGAUUAGCUAGUUGGUGAGGUAACGGCUCACCAAGGCGACGAUCGGUAGCUGGUCUGAGAGGAUGACCAGCCACACUGGAACUGAGAUACGGUCCAGACUCCUACUGGAGGCAGCAGUUGGGAAUAUUGGACAAUGGGGGAAACCCUGAUCCAGCAAUGCCGCGUGGGUGAUGAAGGCCUUCGGGUUGUAAAGCCCUUUUGGCGGGGACGAUGAUGACGGUACCCGCAGAAUAAGCCCCGGCUAACUUCGUGCCAGCCGCCGCCGUAACAC